rnacentral:rRNA from 1 species
UACCCGCGCCCCUAGUGGUGGUCGAUAUUAUUGAGCCUAAAACGUCCGUAGCCGGUCUUCUAAAUCCUUGGGUAAAUCGGGCAGCUUAACUGUCCGAAGUCCGGGGAGACUGGGAGACUUGGGACCGGGAGAGGUGAGAGGUACUCCAGGGGUAGGAGUGAAAUCCUGUAAUCCUGGAAGGACCACCGGUGGCGAAGGCGUCUGACUAGAACGGAUCCGACGGUGAGGGACGAAGCCCUGGGGCGCAAACGGG